GGAUUUCCUUAGUAACUGCGAGUGAAACGGAAAGAGCUCAGCGUCGAAACCGUGUUGGCCCUGUCGACACUGUAUUGUGACGUAUAGAGGCGGUCAUGUGCGUUUGGCUGGUUGUACGAAAUCCCUUUGACUAGGGUUCCAAAGCGGGUGCGAGACCCGUACGUGCAGCCGGCCGUUCGUACGCGGCAGUCUUUUGGAGUAGGGUUGUUUGAGAUCGCAGCCCAAAGCAGGUGGUAUACUUCAUCUAAAGCUAAAUACGACUACGAAUCCGAUAGCAAACAAGUACCGUGAGGGAAAGUUGCAAAGUACUUUGAAGAGAGAGUUCAAGAGGACGUGAAACCGAUAGGAUGGAAGCAGAUGAAGUUGACGAACGAGUGUCGUAUUCAGGGUCGCGUCUUGUGCGCGGUCUGUUCUUGCGACCGACGUGGGCCGGCGGUCUUGGUCAAUGCACUGUGUCUAGCGUCGAUGGAGACCCUGCGGAGGGAUCAUCAGUCGGCGUACGAUGCGUGGUAUGGCUAAGGUUCUGUCGCCGGUCUUGAAAGUCAGCGCCUCAUCUGACCCGUCUUGAAACACGGACCAAGGAGUGUAGCGUUUACGCGAGUCUUAGAGUGUAUCAAAACUUUGAGGCGCAACGAAAGUAAAGGUGACGUAAGUUGCUGACUUGGGAUGCGCUGUCUUCUUGUGGACGGCGCUGGACCAUGGUUAUAUCGCGAUCGCUUGCGAUGCGGUGUAAAUAGAGCGUAAACGGUGCGACCCGAAAGAUGGUGAACUAUGCCUGAGCAGGAUGAAGCCGGAGGAAACUCUGGUGGAAGUCCGAAGCGGUUCUGACGUGCAAAUCGAUCGUCUGACUUGGGUAUAGGGGCGAAAGACUAAUC
rnacentral:rRNA from 1 species